rnacentral:rRNA from 1 species
GCUGGUCCUCUUAGGGACAUGUGCACGCUUUUCUUUUAAUUUUUCAACAGUGCGCGUAUUGUAGACCUGGAGGCUUUUUAUCGUUGGAAUAAAUUGAGGACUGCCCUUGUGGCUUUGCCUUGCAUUUCCAGGUCUAUGUUAAACACAUUUCACACAAACGAAUGUCGAAAUAUGGAAUAAUAUAUAUAUACAACUUUCAGCAACGGAUCUCUUGGCUCUCGCAUCGAUGAAGAACGCAGCGAAAUGCGAUAAGUAAUGUGAAUUGCAGAAUUCAGUGAAUCAUCGAAUCUUUGAACGCAUCUUGCGCUCCUUGGUAUUCCGAGGAGCAUGCCUGUUUGAGUGUCAUAAAAGUUCUCAACCGCACUGGUUCUUUCUGGUGUGGCUUGUAUUUGGGGGAUUUGCGGGCUUUUGAAUGCAAGUCGGCUCCCUUGAAAAGGAUUGGUGGCAUCUGAGCCAUAUACUAUGGGUGUGAUAAAUUAUCUAUGCCUUGUCGUAUGCCAGAGGAUGCCCCUUAUCAAAGAUGUCGCGAUAUAUUUGACCUCAAAUCAGGUAGGACUACCCGCUGAACUUAAGCAUAUCAAUAAGCGGAGGAAAAGAAACUAACAAGGAUUCCCCUAGUAACUGCGAGUGAAGCGGGAAAAGCUCAAAUUUGAAAUCUGGUGGUCUUUUGGCCGUCCGAGUUGUAGUCUAGAGAAGUGCUACCUGUGCUGGACCAUGUAAAAGUCUCCUGGAAUGGAGCAUCAUAGAGGGUGA